UAUGUAGCAGAUUGCUUCUUGUUGCUUCUGUUUCUUUCAAAAUAAAUUUUGUAUAUUCUUCUCUCUUCUCAUUACACAACCUGCUUGGAUCUUCAAACUUCUCUCUGAAAUGAUUUGUGUUUAAACUCAUUUGUUAUGUUCCGAUCUAUCAGGUUUAAUCUCUGGGUUUCUAACUUCCUUCGUCGUCAACAACAACAAAUAAUUUGUAGGUAAAAUAGAAAGGUUGUAGAUCUACCGUAGACGGAAACGAGAAGUAAAACAACAUUGAAAACAAGAAACAAGUUAAUAAUUUUUAAAUCAGAUCUAUUAUUUUCUUGAUUUGUUUUUUAAUGUUUAGAGUUUGGAUCUACAAAUAUAUUAACUAAUGAGAUUUGUAAUUGUAAUUUUUAAUCUGGGUUGGGAUUUUUUUCCGGGAAUGUUCUGGAUUGGAAUCUUUGAAUCUGAGAGGUUUGGAUAUCUUUAUGAUUUAGAUGAUU